CGGCUCUCUGCGGAGGACGCAGGGGGAUGACCAAGUACAGGGAAAUGAAUUUUACAUGCUCUCAGUGACUUCAAGGAAGAGCAGAGGAGCUGGAGGACCAGGUGCUGCAUCAGGGCUCUACAGCAAUCCCAUGUGCUGCUCUGUAAGAGACAGAGGGAAGGAAGGUGACACCAGGAUGCUAUUCAUACUGCUGCCCUCUGCUUGUAUCCUCUGAGCCAAACAGAACAGAUCUGAGUUACUGGGAAGAAAUCUUGGCAGUUUUAAUCAGCAUCUGCUGGGAAGGGGAAAGCAAACAAGA